rnacentral:lncRNA from 1 species
CAUCAAAAUACCUGAAAGAAAAUAAGUCUGUUUUGCUUCUUAGCAGAUCAUGUCUUCUGAGGUUUCUGUUGCAUUGAAUAAUUUAAUGUGUUUUGGAGGUGGAGGGAAAGCAAAGUGUGGAGAUUUGAAAUAAAUUAAAAAGCCCAGCACCUUAGUAACAAAUGGCAACAAAAGUCCAGCUGGCACCAAGUCCUUUUAUUCCAUGAACCAGGCCACUGAGCACCGGCAGUCAGUGCUUUGAUUCCCGUUUGAUCUCGGGGUUGGCACUCAGGUCAGUCACCUGAAGGCUUAAAUGGCAAGUCCCUUUAUGGCCCAAUGUGCGUCCUCGACGAUUUCAGAAAGAUCCAGCACCAUCUCAGCCCAACAGGGACCUGACUUCGAAUUGCUCCUGUUCAAAUUGAGGACAGACUCUGGAACCUGCAGGAGCAUUUUGGGAGAGCUUCACUUUGGAUAACAGCAUUUUGUGGUCUCUGAGGUUCUAUCAGUGUUGCUCUGGCAGUUUACAUUCAGGUAAAACUGAGUAUGGAAAUGAUAAAGCU